CUCGGCGCUGACUGCAGCCCCUCCUCCGCGCGCACCCUUUAAGGCUCCGCCGAGCCGCAUAACUCCGUAACCUUCCGCCGCAGAGAAAAGUCACCAGACGCCGCGUCGGCACCGGGAGGAGUCAUCGCUUCGCGCUUUUCUCCGGAUCUCCGCAAAAUCGCCGCCGCUCGGUUGAUUAGUUUUUCCCCAGGGAGGCCUGAAGAAGUACCAACAAGUGUCUUUGACCCAAAAAUGAGGCAAGGAAAGCGUUUCGCCUUGGCCUCGCCAUCCCAGUUGCGCUUGUGUAACGCUCGCAGCCUACACGGCUUGCACCUUGGAUUAAAACUCACUGUUGCUGCUGUGCUUUCUGAAUGUGAGCUCUGCUAGCGACGAGAUUUUGCAGCAACCGAUUUCAGCCGGGAAUUGGUGGUAAAAAAGCACUUAACGACGUGCAGUUCACUGCUAGACCGUGAUCUUUAAGGGUCUUUUACAACCUAAACGACUUCACGAUUCACGGUGUAUACGUGCUGCUUAUGUAACUUAUUUUCAAGGUCAUCAUUUUGCUUCUAAUUCAUGGAAGCCUCAAAAAUGGGAAUUUGAUGGUAAAUUAUACCGGUGUACUGUAUAUUAAAGUAAAAUAUGUGUAGUA